UCUCCGUUGGUGAACCAGCGGAGGGAUUAUUACCGAGUUUACAACUCCCAAACCCCAUGUGAACCUUACCAAACGUUGCUUCGGCGGGAUGCCCCGGGCGCGGGCCGCAAGGCCUCAGCCCCGGAACCAGGCGCCCGCCGGAGGCCCAAACCAAACUCUUGUUUUUGUAGAAUCUUCUGAGUGGCCUUUUAGGCAAAAAAUGAAUCAAAACUUUCAACAACGGAUCUCUUGGUUCUG
rnacentral:misc_RNA from 1 species